rnacentral:rRNA from 1 species
GAUGAACGCUGGCGGCGUGCCUAAUACAUGCAAGUCGAGCGAAUGGAUUAAGAGCUUGCUCUUAUGAAGUUAGCGGCGGACGGGUGAGUAACACGUGGGUAACCUGCCCAUAAGACUGGGAUAACUCCGGGAAACCGGGGCUAAUACCGGAUACCAUUUUGAACCGCAUGGUUCGAAAUUGAAAGGCGGCUUCGGCUGUCACUUAUGGAUGGACCCGCUUCGCAUUAGCUAGUUGGUGAGGUAACGGGGCACCAAGGCAACGAUGCGUAGCCGAGCUGAGAGGGGGAUCGGCCACACUGGGACUGAGACACGUGCCAGACGUCUGCGGGAGGCAGCAGUGGGGAAUCUUCCGCGAUGGACGAAAGUCUGACGGAGCAACGCCGCGUGAGUGAUGAAGGCUUUCGGGUCGUAAAACUCUGUUGUUAGGGAAGAACAAGUGCUAGUUGAAUAAGCUGGCACCUUGACGGUACCUAACCAGAAAGCCACGGCUAACUACGUGCCAGCCGCCGCGGUAA